ACGAAGGGUGCAAGCGUUAAUCGGAAUUACUGGGCGUAAAGCGCGCGUAGGUGGUUCAGCAAGUUGGAUGUGAAAGCCCUGGGCUCAACCUGGGAACUGCAUCCAAAACUACUGAGCUAGAGCACGGUAGAGGGUAGUGGAAUUUCCUGUGUAGCGGUGAAAUGCGUAGAUAUAGGAAGGAACACCAGUGGCGAAGGCGACUACCUGGACUGAUACUGACACUGAGGUGCGAAAGCGUGGGGAGCAAACAGG
rnacentral:rRNA from 1 species